UCGAUUGGCUUGUCAAUGUAGUGAUGGUGAGAAAAAUUAAUAAAAAAUGAAGAAUCUAUAUCGACUACAUAAAUUUAAAUGAAACUUAUCCAAAAGAUAGUUUUUCCUUAUCAAAUAUCGAUCAACUAGUUGAUGCAACUUCGAGACAUCGACUUUUGAGCUUUAUAGAUACCUUUGUGGGCUAUAAUCAAAUUCAGAUGGCACUCG
rnacentral:lncRNA from 1 species